AAAUGAAGGUGUUUGGAGUUCUCUUGACCGUAGCAAAACUGCGCAAGUGAUCGAUCUUUUUCUCUAUGUGACAAAUAUAUAUAUGUGAAGAAGAAAGAUUCAAGAAAUAUCUCUUUUCGGUUUCCUUGUGAUGUGACCGACAUAUAUUUCCACUUAUAUUAUGUACACUACAAUCAUAAAUUUGUUCUCACAUGUGGAUGUGGUUCCAUGCGAGGGGAGCGACCAAUCACUAUAACUGAUGAUGUUAAUUAUUGGCCCAAAUAGGCCCAAACAUUUCAUAACGUAAGGCCUAUACGUUUGACCCAACA